rnacentral:rRNA from 1 species
CCUACGGGCGGCAGCAGUGAGGAAUAUUGGUCAAUGGACGAGAGUCUGAACCAGCCAAGUAGCGUGAAGGAUGACUGCCCUAUGGGUUGUAAACUUCUUUUAUAUGGGAAUAAAAUGUUCCACGUGUGGGAUUUUGUAUGUAUCAUAUGAAUAAGGAUCGGCUAACUCCGUGCCAGCAGCCGCGGUAAUACGGAGGAUGCGAGGGUUAUCCGGAUUUAUUGGGUUUAAAGGGAGCGUAGGUGGAUUGUUAAGUCAGCUGUGAAAGUUUGCGGCUCAACCGUAAAAUUGCAGUUGAAACUGGCAGUCUUGAGUACAGUAGAGGUGGGCGGAAUUCGUGGUGUAGCGGUGAAAUGCUUAGAAAUCACGAAGAACUCCGAUUGCGAAGGCAGUUCACUGGACUGCAACUGACACUGAGGCUCGAAAGUGUGGGUAUCAAACAGGAUUAGAUACCCCUGUAGUC